UUGUUUUACUAUAAUGGCUGUCGUAAUACGCCCUCAGAAGACUAUGACACAUAAUGAGUGGGCCAAAAAUUUUUACAUUACCAU
rnacentral:snoRNA from 1 species